UGGGGAAUCUUGCACAAUGGAGGAAACUCUGAUGCAGCGACGCCGCGUGAGCGAUGAAGCCCUUCGGGGUGUAAAGCUCUUUCGACGGGAACGAUAAUGACGGUACCCGAAGAAGAAGCUGCGGCUAACUACGUGCCAGCAGCCGCGGUAAUACGUAGGCAGCAAGCGUUGUUCGGAAUUACUGGGCGUAAAGAGUGUGUAGGCGGUGCUCUAAGUCUGCUGUGAAAUCUCCCGGCUUAACUGGGAGGGUGCGGCGGAAACUGGAAUGCUAGAGUGUGGGAGAGGUAAGCGGAAUUCCUGGUGUAGCGGUGAAAUGCGUAGAUAUCAGGAGGAACACCUGUGGUGUAGACAGCUUACUGGACCACGACUGACGCUGAGACACGAAAGCGUGGGUAGCAAACAGGAUUAGAUACCCUGGUAGUCCACGCCCUAAACGAUGCAUACUUGGUGUGAGCGAUUCAUUUCGUUCGU
rnacentral:rRNA from 1 species